UACGUAGGUGGCAAGCGUUGUCCGGAUUUACUGGGCGUAAAGGGCGCGUAGGCGGUCCGGUAAGUCGGUUGUGAAAGUCGGGGGCUCAACCCUCGGAUGCCGAUCGAUACUGUCGGGCUAGAGUCCGGAAGAGGCGAGUGGAAUUCCUGGUGUAGCGGUGAAAUGCGUAGAUAUCUGGAGGAACACCGGUGGCGAAGGCGGCAUCCUGGACCAACACUGACACUGAGGAGCGAAAGCCAGGGAGCAAACGGG
rnacentral:rRNA from 1 species